UUCAAAUUCUCAUCAAUUCCAACUGUAGCCUUUCAACACUUUUUACAGACUGACAGAUGAUAUUAGACACAUACAAGGAUUCCUGACAGUGUUGAUGCUUUUACGCUUUUAUUCCAUCACUGCAGCUCAAAAAUAACAUGAUACCAGAAACUGAAUGACAUUGGAAUGACUUCUGAAUUGGACAGUCGG